rnacentral:misc_RNA from 1 species
UCUCUUUGUGAUACCAAGCAAGGUUACACGCAGUUUGGUGGGCUCCGCCCAUUUGGUGUCUCAUUUCUCUUUGCAGGUUGGGAUAAAAAUUUUGGUUUCCAGCUUUUCAUGAGUGAUCCUAGUGGAAACUAUGGUGGUUGGAAGGCUGGAGCCAUUGGGGCAAACAACCAGGCUGCACAGUCAAUGUUGAAGCAGGACUACAA